GACGACCGCUGACGGCGUGCUUAACACAUGCAAGUCGAAGGGAGUGGCGAACGGGUGUGUAACACGUGAGUAACCUGCCCUUUUCUUUGGGAUAUCUCUGUGAAACUGGGUCUAAUUCUGAACGGAUUGGGAUGGGCUCGCGGCUUAUCAGCUUGUUGGUGGUGUGAUAGCUUACCAAGGCUUUGACGGGUAGCCGGCCUGAGAGGGUGGCCGGGCACACUGAGACUGAGAUACGGCCCAGACACAUACGGGAGGCAGCAGUGGGGGAAAUUGCACAAUAGACGAGGUACUCGUGCAGCGACGUGGUGUAGGGGCUGAAGACCUUCGGGUUGUAAACGCCGUUCGCGCGCGGAAUGGUAGUUGGUAAAGAAGCACCGGCUAACUACGUACCAGCAGCCGCGGUAAUAC
rnacentral:rRNA from 1 species